CCUGGUGCAGAACCAUUCAAACCCCAUAAUUUUUCUUUCAAGAGUUCAAAAAACCAGGUUAAUGGUGACAUGAUGUACAGCUUCAAAGAUGGAGACACCAAAACCCCAGCAGCCUUCCUCAAUGAGAUUACACCUAUAUUGGGGAAUGUUCUGAUAUAUAUUCGUCUAGUUUUUAAGAAUUUGACCAGAGUACCUAGUGAGGCUGCUGUUCUCAAUGCUGCGAAUUCUCUGCUGGAUGCAAAGAUCAGAAGAGCACGAGAUCUUGUAACACAAAAACUGAGUGAUCCUGUGAGCAUUCAGGAUGUCAAAU